AUGUACCAGUAUUUGGAAGGAAGGAAAUACUUGGUUGUUCUUGAUGAUCUCUCGUCCACCACAGAAUGGGAUGCUAUAAAACAACAUUUCCCUCCAACAGGCACAGCAAACCGGAUCAUAAUCACGACAAGAAAAGAGGAUAUUGCGAAGCAUUGUUCGAAGAGGCAUAAGAAUAUAUACAACCUCCAGGGGCUGGUAUACAAAAAUGCCCUUGACCUCUUCACACAGAAGGUAUUUGGCAAGAUUACAAAUUUGGAUGAGCAAUAUCCAGAGUUGGUUGAACAAGCAAAGCUGAUCCUAAAGAAGUGCAGUGGACUUCCCCUUGCAAUAGUCACCAUAGGUGGUUUCUUGGCAAACCAACAAAACACACCUUUGGAAUGGAGGAAGUAGAAUGAGAAUAUUAGUGCUGAGUUGGAACUGAAUCCAGACCUUGGGCCCAUAAUGACAGUCCUUAAUAAAAGCUUUGAUGGCCUACCAUACUAUCUUAAGCCUUGUUUCUUGUAUAUGUCGAUCUUUCCAAAAGAUCGCGAGGUCAGUCGGCGCCGUUUGGUGCGUCGGUGGAUUGCAGAGGGUUAUUCAAGGGAGGUGUGUGGUAGGUCUGCAGAGGAAAUAGCAGAGGGCGACUUCAUGGAACUCGUAAGCAGGAGCAUGCUCCUACCAUCUCAACAAUCAAUUCAUGGUAGAAAAGGAAUUGAUGCAUGCCAGGUCCAUGAUCUAAUCCAUGAAAUCAGCAUCAAGAAGUCAACUGAAGAAAAUUUUGUUUUCACACUGGAGGAAGGUUACGGCUUAAGCAGACGAGCCACAGUUCGGCACCUUGCUAUAAGCUAAAAUUGGAAGGGAGAUCAAAGUCAGUUCGAGAGCAUAGUGGACUUGUCCCGUGUGAGAUCAAUAACAGUUUUGGGGAAGUGGAAGCCAUUUUUUAUUUCUGACAAGAUGAGGUUGCUACGAGUGCUGGACCUAGAAGGCACACCAGGCCUAGCUGAUCACCACCUUCAGCACAUUGGGAAGCUUCUUCACCUCAAAUAUUUUUCCAUAAGAGGAUGUGAUGAUAUUCAUCACCUGCCACACUCCUUGGGUAACCUGAGGCAACUCCAUACACUAGAUGUCAGGGAUACGAGAAUACUAAAGCUGCCAAAGACCAUCAUCAAACUUCGGAUGUUAACCUAUCUCCGCCUUGGUAGGAAAUCGAUUGACAAAAAGGUGUCAUAUGAGAAACUUGAAGAGAAGCUCGCAAAUUCAAUGGGCAACAACAGACUAUGUCUAUUGACUUCAGGGUCAGUGAUGCUUUGUGCAGCUUGUUGUGCACCCCGUCAUUUAGGUUAUUCUGAAGACAUGAACCGCCAUGACGUAUGUACUGUUGCUUGCUGUGCUAGACUCCCUGCUGUUGCCAAGCGUCUGGACAGGUAUGGAGUUCUAGCUCCUAGAGGGAUGAGGAAACUGAUCGGCUUGCACACACUGGGGGUUGUAAAUGUUGCACGGGCGGUAGUCAUUCAGGACAUAAAAAAACUGACCUGGUUGCGCAAGUUAGCAGUAACUGGCAUCAACGGGAGAAAUGGUGAAAAUUUUUGUUCAACAAUCAAUAAUCUCAACCGUCUUGAGUCAUUGUCAAUACGGUCAGAGGGAGAGCCUGGAUUGUGUGAAUGUUUGCACUGGAUGACCUCGCCCCCGGAAAACCUCCAGAGCCUCAAGCUGUACGGUAAUCUGAUCAAACUGCCAAGAUGGGUCCAGAGGCUCCAGAAUCUUGUGAAGCUGAAUUUACGGAGCACCAGGCUAUCGGGGCAUGAUGGUGAUGUGGAAGUUCUUGGGAGGAUGCCAAAUCUGGCCAUCCUGCAUUUGUUGGAGAAGUCAUUUCAGGGUGAAGAGCUUCGUUUCCAGAUUGGGAUUUUCAGAAGCCUCACAGUUCUUGUGUUUGGAAACUUUGGGGACAUCAAAUUGGUGAAGUUUGACCAAGGAGCAAUGCCUAAGCUUGAGCAACUACAGGUCAGGAAUGACUGGAGGGUAAGUGCUGAAAAUGGUUGUUCUGGGAAUGAAGUUGCAUUUUCAGGGCUAGACUUUCUCCCAAGCAUCAAGGAAGCCCGGUUAUGGUUAAACAUUAUCCCGGAUGAACAACUCAAGGAAAUACCAGAUGAAGUAUUCCUCAAGGCCAGCAACUUUGAGGAACACUUUCGGACCCAGCUUGCCAACAAUCCAAGGAACCCCAUUCUGAAGGUGGGUGAGCUCGAGAACCAGAACUAA
rnacentral:rRNA from 1 species